rnacentral:rRNA from 1 species
AUGGCGCCGCCGCCCACCGCCGCCGCGGCCGUCCGUUGCCACCCGCACAUCCUCCGCAGGGGCCUCCUGCCCGCUUCGUCGCCGCUGCUCCCCUUCGCCUCCCGGGUGGCCUCCUCCACGCCGCUCCGCGCCCAGCCCCUGCGCUUCUCGCUCUCCCCCGUCCCCAAGAGCAUCUCCUCCUCCUCGACCUCCCACAUCCCCGUGCGCUCCCUCUUCACCGGGAUCGUCGAGGAGGUCGGCCGCGUGCGCCGCAUCGGCCCGCCGCCCACGCCUCCUGGGGGCGGGGGAGACGCGGCUCCCGGUGUCGACCUCGAGGUCGAGACCAAGAACCUCCUCGCCGGGACGCAGCUGGGCGACAGCAUCGCCGUCGACGGGACGUGCCUCACCGUGGCGGCCAUCGACACCGCUGCCUCCACGCUCACCUUCGGCGUCGCGCCGGAGACCCUCCGGUGCACGUCACUCGGCGAGCGCGUCGCGGGCGACGACGUUAACCUCGAGCGCGCGCUCACGCCGGCGUCUCGCAUGGGCGGGCACUUCGUCCAGGGCCACGUCGACGGCACCGGCGAGAUCGCCGCGUUCCGGCCCGAGGGCGAUUCUAUCUGGGUCACCGUGCGUGCGCCGCCAGAGAUCCUCAGCUUGCUCGUGCCUAAGGGGUUCGUCGCCGUGGACGGAACCAGCCUCACCGUCGUCAAUGUGAACGAGGAGGCCGGGUGGUUCGACUUCAUGCUUGUGCGCUACACGCAGGACAAUGUUGUGCUGCCAAAGAAGAAGGUUGGGGAUAAGGUGAACCUUGAGGCUGACAUUCUUGGGAAGUAUGUAGUGAAGCUACUUGCCGGGAGAUUGGAGGCAACAUCAAAGGCAAAUUCUUGA